rnacentral:rRNA from 1 species
AUGAACGCUGGCGGCGUGCCUAAUACAUGCAAGUCGAGCGAACAGACGAGGAGCUUGCUCCUCUGACGUUAGCGGCGGACGGGUGAGUGACACGUGGAUAACCUACCUAUAAGACUGGGAUAACUUCGGGAAACCGGAGCUAAUACCGGAUAAUAUAUUGAACCGCAUGGUUCAAUAGUGAAAGACGGUUUUGCUGUCACUUAUAGAUGGAUCCGCGCCGCAUUAGCUAGUUGGUAAGGUAACGGCUUACCAAGGCAACGAUGCGUAGCCGACCUGAGAGGGUGAUCGGCCACACUGGAACUGAGACACGGUCCAGACUCCUACGGGAGGCAGCAGUAGGGAAUCUUCCGCAAUGGGCGAAAGCCUGACGGAGCAACGCCGCGUGAGUGAUGAAGGUCUUCGGAUCGUAAAACUCUGUUAUUAGGGAAGAACAAAUGUGUAAGUAACUAUGCACGUCUUGACGGUACCUAAUCAGAAAGCCACGGCUAACUACGUG